GGAUGCGAUCAUACCAGCACUAAAGCAUCGGAUCCCAUCAGAACUCCGAAGUUAAGCGUGCUUGGGUGAGAGUAGUACUAGGAUGGGUGACCUCCUGGGAAGUCCUCGUGUUGCAUUCC
rnacentral:rRNA from 1 species